UGAUGUAUUAAAGAUAUAAAUGUUGUAAUAAUUUAGAUUGCAUUUGGAUGAAAAAGGAAUGGUAGUUGAGGCGUAAAAUGCAUGAAUAUGAAUGAAUGUAAUAUAUAGGAUGUGUUAUGUUGUUUGAUACCUUCUAUUAUGCAAUCUUGAUUGAAAUGUGUUCCUGGUUGGAACUUCGUAUAUUGUAUUGAUUGCUAUGCCUUGAAC
rnacentral:lncRNA from 1 species